rnacentral:lncRNA from 1 species
AGGCGUAAAAGGCCACACAUUAUAUAAUCCCAGUUAUAUGAAAUAACACAAAUAGACAAAUACAUAGGAACAGAAAAUAAGUUAGUGCUUGUAGGGGCUGAGGGAAAAGAGGAAUGGGGAAUGAUUGCUAAUAGUCACAGGGUUUAUGUAAAAUAAGAAGGUUCUGGAAUUAGACAGUGGUGAUGGUUGCACAACCUGUGGACAUGCUAAAAUCCAUUGGCUUGUAAACUUCAGAAUGGUUAAUUAUGUUGUCUUAAAUAUAUCUCAACUUAAGAUGCACAUGCACACAAAACAAACAUUUGGGAAAAGAGAAAGUUGUCAUUAAAUUGACAUCAAACAACCAGAAGACAACUUGGGAAAAAGCAGGAAUUUAUGUCCUUCAGCUUUUGCUAAGAUAUUCAUGCCAUGAUAUUUGGCCUAUUUCCCUUCCGAUUGAGGACCUCCUCUCAUGGAGAAAAAAGUUAAGAACAAGAGAAGAAAAGUGCCUUGCUCAAGUACACGUAGGAUAAAACUAAGUGACUGAGCUGGA